GACAGAGGGUGCAAUCGUUGCUCGGAAUCACUGGGCGUAAAGGGCUCGUAGGCGGCCCGGCACGUCAGGAGUGAAAGCCCUGGGCUCAACCCGGGAACUGCUUUUGAAACUGCCGAGCUAGAGUGCGGAAGGGGCAACUGGAAUUCCCAGUGUAGCGGUGAAAUGCGUAGAUAUUGGGAAGAACACCUGAGGCGAAGGCGGGUUGCUGGGCCGACACUGACGCUGAGGCGCGAAAGCCAGGGGAGCGAACGGG
rnacentral:rRNA from 1 species